CCAAACCAAAUCCCCCCGUUCAAUCGUCUCCAACCCCAGAGACCUCUCCCUGUAGCACCGCCAUCCUCCGCUACCGGAAAUCGCCUCACGGCGGUUCCGGUGGUCCAAACACAUCCAAAUUAACACCCCUGAUUCCCCUUAACCUCCCCAUUCCAUAUAUCCUAACAGCUUCCGUCAAAUCCCAACCAUGCUCUUCGAAUCUUCAAUCGAAGAUCAACCAAAAAACCCUAUCCUACCCAAUCAACCCCAAAUUGACACCAUACCACCACAAGACUACCCUCACCACGAAUCUUUAAUCGGCUCCUUUCAAAUCAUCGUAGAACGGCUCAGAUUUUAGAUCGAAGUAUGAAAUUAGACGGGCCAGGUUCCAUGAAAUUUGAGUCAGAGACUGACUUUAGUCGUGUGUUUUCCGUCGAAAACACAUGGUUAAAGUCUGUCUCGGCCCGAAAAUAGAAAGAUCUUUAGAGAUUUUCAAUUUUGAGUUUUGGUCCGAUUCAGGUACACAGCUCUGCUUUUGAUAAUUGUAAGCUGAAAUGUGAAAGAAGAAUCCAAAUGAUAAUUGAAGCAUGAGAUUUGAGUGAUUUAAAUUCCUAUACUAUGUAUUCAACAUUUAGUUUACUGAUGUUGUUUAAAUUUCUGUUUGUUUUGUAUUGAAUGGACAGUAAAUUGUUAAGUCUCGGACUCAAUGAGUUUGUUUCUUUCCAGUGUGAUCUUAGUUGUAGUUAA